rnacentral:rRNA from 1 species
UGGGGAAUAUUGGGCAAUGGACGCAAGUCUGACCCAGCAACGCCGCGUGAAGGAAGAAGGCUUUCGGGUUGUAAACUUCUUUUGUCAGGGAAGAGGAGAAGACGGUACCUGACGAAUAAGCCACGGCUAACUACGUGCCAGCAGCCGCGGUAAUACGUAGGUGGCAAGCGUUGUCCGGAUUUACUGGGUGUAAAGGGCGUGUAGCCGGGUCUGCAAGUCAGAUGUGAAAUCUAAGGGCUUAACCCUUAAACUGCAUUUGAAACUGCAGGUCUUGAGUAUCGGAGAGGUCAUCGGAAUUCCUAGUGUAGCGGUGAAAUGCGUAGAUAUUAGGAAGAACACCAGUGGCGAAGGCGGAUGACUGGACGACAACUGACGGUGAGGCGCGAAAGCGUGGGGAGCAAACAGG